GACUGCGGAGGAAUUACCAAACAUACUCAAAAGGGAGGCAUUAACGGGACCGACAGGGCUACUACCUUAUACGUUGUUGAACGUCCAGUAUGGACCCCAAGCCUCCCGCAUCUUAACCCUCCUCGUACCCAACCCUUCUUGCUUCCCCCGGCAUCUCAUCGGGGGGAGGUAACAACCAGGACUCUAUGAGAAUCACACCGCAUCAGAAUUAUAAAACACAAAAGUUAAAACUUUCAACAACGGAUCUCUUGGUUCCCACAUCCUGAAAACUUCUGGAAGUGCUGUAAGUAAUGUGAAUUGUACAAUUCACUGAAUCAUCGAAUCGUUGAACGCACAUUGCGCCCCCUGGUAUUCCGGGGGGCAUGCCUGUUCGAGCGUCAUAAAAACCUCCUCCCCCUUCGGGUUUUGUUACUAUCGUUGGGGGGUUUUGGCCUAAUGGGAUAGCGAUUGGCAAUUCUUUCCCAAUGUCCUAAAUAGACUAACCCGCCUCCAAUGCGACAGCACCGAGGCCUCCCGUGAGUUAUGGGAUAUAAUAGGCUUGCAGUAAAAUGCUCACCUCUCUCCACACCCAAUGGCACGACAGUUGCAGUUGCGGGCGUAAAUUGGAGCCCUUUUGACCCUUGUGGCCUAGCAUCCACCAUACAUAAUUUGACCUCGGAUCAGGUAGGAUACCCGCUGAACUUAAGCAUAUCCGGAGGAAA
rnacentral:rRNA from 1 species